rnacentral:SRP_RNA from 1 species
CCCCAGGUCCCCAGGGCGGGAGCUCUCGGAAUCCCGUCAGGACCGGCAGGUAGCAGCGGUACGUGUGGUGACCGUCGCUGGGAUCGCCUGGGGCAC